GACGAACGCUGGCGGCGUGCUUAACACAUGCAAGUCGAACGGAGCGAAUGAAAGCUUGCUUUUAUGAGCUUAGUGGCAAACGGGUGAGUAACACGUAGACAACCUGCCGACAGGAUGGGGACAACAUUCCGAAAGGAAUGCUAAUACCGAAUGAAGUCAGAGAAGGGCAUCCUUUUCUGAUGAAAGAUGGCCUCUGAACAUGCUAUCACCUGUCGAUGGGUCUGCGUCUGAUUAGCUAGUUGGUGAGGUGACGGCUCACCAAGGCGACGAUCAGUAGCCGGUCUGAGAGGAUGAACGGCCACAUUGGGACUGAGACACGGCCCAGACUCCUACGGGAGGCAGCAGUGGGGAAUCUUCCGCAAUGGGCGCAAGCCUGACGGAGCAACGCCGCGUGAGUGAAGAAGGUCUUCGGAUCGUAAAGCUCUGUUGACGGGGACGAACGUGCGAAGGGUGAAUAAUCCUUUGCAAUGGCG
rnacentral:rRNA from 1 species